rnacentral:rRNA from 1 species
GAUGAACGCUAGCUACAGGCUUAGCACAUGCAAGUCGCGGGGCAGCAUGGGGGUUGCUUGCACCCCCUGAUGGCGACCGGCGCACGGGUGAGUAACGCUUAUCCAACCUGCCCUUCACCACGGGAUAACCCGGCGAAAGUCGGACUAAUACCGUCUGUUGUCCAUUGACGGCAUCCGAUUUGGACGAAAGGCUUGGCGGUGACAGGGUGGGGAUGCGUCCGAUUAGCUUGACGGCGGGGUAACGGCCCACCGUGGCUACGAUCGGUAGGGGUUUGGAGAGGAAGGUCCCCCACACUGGAACUGAGACACGGUCCAGACUCCUACGGGAGGCAGCAGUGAGGAAUAGUGGGCAAUGGGCGUAAGCCUGAACCAGCCAAGUAGCGUGCAGGAUGACGGCACUAUGGGUGGUAAACUGCUUUUAUGCGGGGAUAAAGUGGCCCACGGGUGGGCUUUUGCAGGUACCGCAUGAAUAAGGACCGGCUAAUUCCGUG